rnacentral:rRNA from 1 species
UCUGACCUCUGACCUCAAAUCAGGUAGGACUACCCGCUGAACUUAAGCAUAUCAA